rnacentral:rRNA from 1 species
UGGGGAAUAUUGGACAAUGGGGGAAGCCCUGAUCCAGCGACGCCGCGUGUGUGAAGAAGGCCUGCGGGUUGUAAAGCACUUUCGGUGGGAACGAAAUAUGCCGGGCUAAUACCCCGGUAGGCUGACGUUACUCAAUGAAGAAGCACCGGCUAACUCUGUGCCAGCAGCCGCGGUAAUACAGAGGGUGCGAGCGUUAAUCGGAAUUACUGGGCGUAAAGCGCACGUAGGUGGCGACGUAAGUCGGGUGUGAAAGCCCCGGGCUCAACCUGGGAACCGCAUUCGAGACUGCGUUGCUGGAGUACGGAAGAGGAGGGCGGAAUUCCCGGGUGUAGCGGUGAAAUGCGUAGAUAUCGGGAAGAACAUCAGUGGCGAAGGCGGCCCUCUGGUCCAGUACUGACACUCAAGUGCGAAAGCGUGGGGAGCAAACAGGAUUAGAUACCCCAGUAGUCCCUGAGCGGGCUGGCAAGGCGCAU